CUGACAGCUAUAUUACAGUUGUGAGACACACAUUUUCUAACAAUCGAUGAAGCCAUAAUUAUUCAAAAAUCUGCAUUUUAUACCAACUACCAAGUCUACAUAGUUCAGUCUACAUUAUUUUCUGCAUUUUAUACUUGUCCAGUUGUUUGCAGAUUACACUGAUCGCGAUAUGAACUAUCGAUACAUUUUUAAUAAUUACUUUCGGUAUCGGUUAAAUUUUGAAGUCGUAACUGGAUGUGAGCGAGAAUAAAACAUUUGUAUUCGUAUCAUGCUAUAUUACAGUACCGGGUUGUUGAGGCUCAUCUUCUGAUCUUGGUUCAUGAGAGUCAACAUUCUCUGAAUGAUCUUCUGCAUGCGCACUUGAACUGACACUGUCACUUUCCUCAUUAUCCCCUUCCAACAAUGGUGCAUUCGCUUGUACGUUGUGCAUUCUAAUGUUUUAAUCAAGUAAACCAACAAGGAACAUCCACCAACUGAUUCGAAUAAAAAAAUUACUGCAUAAAAAAUUAACAAAUCUAUACCGUGUGGCAAUC